GACGAACGCUGGCGGCGUGCUUAACACAUACAAGUCGAACGGAAAGGCCCUGCUUGCAGGGUGCUCGAGUGGCGAACGGGUGAGUAACACGUGGGUGAUCUGCCCCUUACUUUGGGAUAAGCCUGGGAAACUGGGUCUAAUACUGGAUAGGACCAUGCUGUAGGUGGUGUGGUGGAAAGAUUAGUUUCGGUAAGGGAUGAGCUCGCGGCCUAUCAGCUUGUUGGUGGGGUAAUGGCCUACCAAGGCGUCGACGGGUAGCCGGCCUGAGAGGGUGGACGGCCACAUUGGGACUGAGAUACGGCCCAGACUCCUACGGGAGGCAGCAGUGGGGAAUAUUGCACAAUGGGCGCAGGCCUGAUGCAGCGACGCCGCGUGGGGGAUGACGGCCUUCGGGUUGUAAACUCCUUUCAGCCAUGACGAAGCCCUUGUGGUGACGGUAGUGGUAGAAGAAGCACCGGCUAACUACGUG
rnacentral:rRNA from 1 species